rnacentral:lncRNA from 1 species
GUAUUGAAAAAAAAAUGAAAUAAAAAUAAGCAUGAAUGAGUUGGUUAGGCUGAACCUAGUGACAUGUGGUAAUGGCUGGUUUGACUCCAUUGUAUUGGACCUCUGUGUACCCGGGUUGUUUAGUUGGGAUUGAUAGCUCUUUCUUUACUUGCAAACCAUUCUUGACAAAUUUAGACAACAUGUGAUAUUCUGAAAAUUUGAUGGAUCAGGUUCUAACAAAUUAUAGAAAAUACUUGUGAACUUGAGUAGUGCACCUAAAACUCAGGCGGUACCCUGUUGUGGUGGAGGUAUUAGUACUCUGAGAAAGUCAUGCUAUUUUAUGCACACUACAUUUUCAUAUUUUCUUGCCUUGACAGUUGCCAUGCUUGAAAAUAUAUAUCAAUUAAUUACAUGUGUAUUAGCUUAAGAUUUAUUUCAUAUUUUUAUUAGAAUCUCAUGUCAUAUAAUUCAUGAUGUUUGUGGGUAACAUCUCUGAAAACCCUCACGAGACAACACUCGUCCACUAGGGUAACCUAGGGGUUUAACGGCUUGUUGCACGUGCUAAGUGCAAUCGUGAUUCCUACGAAAGUGAGUACAUAUCUUAGUUUUAUAUGUUUAGCUUGAAUAAAAAGUCAUAGGUUAAACCAUACCUUUUACACUCUCAUUCUAUUAUCUGCUCAUUAAUUGCUAGAGACUAGCAAUAAGCUAGUUGGGGGGUGUGAUGAGAGCACAAAAGUGUGAUCUAUACAUCACUUAAAUUAGUAUUAUUGCUAACAAAUAAUGAUAAAAUUGCCGCAUUAAUAUUAUAUUUUUGUGAGGUGCAGGUGAUCGGAAAUCAAAGGUAAAAUGCACAUUGGGUUCAAAAAGAUGUAUCACUAUAGGUGACCAGCCAACCGCAUGGG